rnacentral:rRNA from 1 species
GGAUCCAGACUUUGAUUCUGGCUCAGGAUGAACGCUAGCUACAGGCUUAACACAUGCAAGUCGAGGGGCAGCAUGAACUUAGCUUGCUAAGUUUGAUGGCGACCGGCGCACGGGUGAGUAACACGUAUCCAACCUUCCGUUUACUCAGGGAUAGCCUUUCGAAAGAAAGAUUAAUACCUGAUAGUAUGGUGAGAUUGCAUGAUAACACCAUUAAAGAUUCAUUGGUAAACGAUGGGGAUGCGUUCCAUUAGGUAGUAGGCGGGGUAACGGCCCACCUAGCCAACGAUGGAUAGGGGUUCUGAGAGGAAGGUCCCCCACAUUGGAACUGAGACACGGUCCAAACUCCUACGGGAGGCAGCAGUGAGGAAUAUUGGUCAAUGGGCGCGAGCCUGAACCAGCCAAGUAGCGUGAAGGAUGAAGGUCCUACGGAUUGUAAACUUCUUUUAUAAGGGAAUAAAGUCGCCUACGUGUAGGCGUUUGUAUGUACCUUAUGAAUAAGCAUCGGCUAACUCCGUGCCAGCAGCCGCGGUAAUACGGAGGAUGCGAGCGUUAUCCGGAUUUAUUGGGUUUAAAGGGAGCGUAGACGGAGGAUUAAGUCAGUUGUGAAAGUUUGCGGCUCAACCGUAAAAUUGCAGUUGAUACUGGUCCCCUUGAGUGCAGUUGAGGCAGGCGGAAUUCGUGGUGUAGCGGUGAAAUGCUUAGAUAUCACGAAGAACCCCGAUUGCGAAGGCAGCCUGCUAAGCUGUAACUGACGUUGAUGCUCGAAAGUGUGGGUAUCAAACAGGAUUAGAUACCCUGGUAGUCCACACGGUAAACGAUGGAUACUCGCUGUUGGCGAUAUACUGUCAGCGGCCAAGCGAAAGC